GAACGUACCUUUUGGUUCGGAACAACACAGGGAAACUUGUGCUAAUACCGGAUAAGCCCUUACGGGGAAAGAUUUAUCGCCGAAAGAUCGGCCCGCGUCUGAUUAGCUAGUUGGUAGGGUAACGGCCUACCAAGGCGACGAUCAGUAGCUGGUCUGAGAGGAUGAUCAGCCACAUUGGGACUGAGACACGGCCCAAACUCCUACGGGAGGCAGCAGUGGGGAAUAUUGGACAAUGGGGGCAACCCUGAUCCAGCCAUGCCGCGUGAGUGAUGAAGGCCCUAGGGUUGUAAAGCUCUUUUGUGCGGGAAGAUAAUGACGGUACCGCAAGAAUAAGCCCCGGCUAACUUCGUGCCAGCAGCCGCGGUAAUACGAAGGGGGCUAGCGUUGCUCGGAAUCACUGGGCGUAAAGGGUGCGUAGGCGGGUCUUUAAGUCAGGGGUGAAAUCCUGGAGCUCAACUCCAGAACUGCCUUUGAUACUGAAGAUCUUGAGUUCGGGAGAGGUGAGUGGAACUGCGAGU
rnacentral:rRNA from 1 species